CAGGAGUAGAUUCCAUCUUAACAAACCACGUUCUUCGUUCAUCCAGAAGAAACAACUCCUUGUCUGUUCAAGUUUGAUCAUGAGAUUACAGCAAUUCGGUCACAUCUCCAGGCUCCCCUUCUAAUUCUGGUUUUCUUAACUAUUUUCACCACGCCUGAAAUUUCUUCAUCCACUGAAGCCUUGAACCCCUCAAAGUCAUCCAUGAGGGCUGGAAUCAACUUCUUCCAAACUCCCGUUCAUGUUGAUAUUUUGACUUCCUCCCAUGAAUCAUGAAUUUUCUUAAAGGCAUCAAGAAUGGGGAAUCCUUUCCAGAAGAUUUUCAAUUUGCUGUGCCCAGAUCCAACAGAAGAAUCACUAUCUAUGACAGCUAUAGCCUUACAAGAUGUAUUUCUUAAAUAAUAAUGCUUUAAAGUCAAAGUAACUCCUUGAACCAUGGACUGCAGAAUGAAUGUUGUGUUAGCAGGCAUGAAAACAAUAUUAAUCUCUUUGAACAUCUCCAUCGAACCUCUUGGGUGACCAGGUGCAUUGCCAAUAAGCAGUAAUAUUUUGAGAGGAAUCUUCAUUUCUGGGCAUCGAGUCCCAAUAGUGGGCUUAAAAUACUCAGCAAACCAUGCUGACUAUAGAAAAGUGACUUGAAACAGACAUAUGAAAAUCACUUGCACAUUGUGAUUACUUACUUCCUCUUGAUGCUCUUGGAGCCCUACAACUCUGUGAAGAAGCCCAAGCAAGCCUGCUGGAUAACAAAGGGCAUAUGGUCCAGAUGGCUUUGUUGCCCUGAUCAACAGCCAACUAGACACUAGACACAUGGAAAAGACUUCCUGGAUUAUCCAACCACCAGCCAACCUAAAAGCAGACUAAGGAUGCUUGAAAGAGCUCCACAGAGAUUAGCUGAGCUCAUGCAGAUAAGAACUGCCUAGCUGACCCGAAUCAUAGACUAAAUAAAGUGUUGUUGUUUGAGGCCAUUAACUUUUGGGGUCAUUUGUUACACAGCAAAAGCUAACUGAUACAAGCACCACAUUGUAUUAAUGUUCCAGAUGCUGUGGAUACUCUGAUAAACCAG
rnacentral:lncRNA from 1 species